CUGAGCAAAGUAUACUGUGGUGGGUUGUGACUAGUUCGGCUGCGCUCGUGAUACGUCCCGUCAAAACGGUCCACCAGAGAGAGGCGUUUUGAAUUUGUUUUUAAUUUCUUGCGGAACCCCUAGAGGAGUAUUGGGGAACCCUAGGGUUCUGCGGAACACACUUAGACUAUGGCUGUGCUAGAAGAAUAUAUCGAAUUCUUUGAGUAUUCUAAUUUUUAAUCAUUUUCUUUGGCGAUGUUUUUUGUUUCACUCCAUUUUAUACCGUGAUCAUCAGAUGAUUUUAGAAUAUGCUCUGGUAUCCCUGGUACCUUGUACCAGAAUUAGCCUACUCUUGCUUUUCCCAUUGCUACAAAAUGUAAAGAAAGGAAAUUCAAUAGCAUCUCCAAUGCAGCUGUAGCUGUGGUUUCCAGUCUGCUGCUUUCAUUAUUUCCGAACAGGCAAGUGUUUGCAUCCUACUUAGUCUGUUGAUAGCAGUCGUUUGUUUCAUCUUUGGCAACCAUAGAUGCAUAUGUUUUCAUGGGUUAAACCUUCAUAGAGUAUAGCCAAUAUAGGGGUUUCAACCUAAGGCCACCAGAUAGUGAACAGUUUCCUUGGAGUAUCCCGAUUUCAUCAUCCAUUUUUGUACCUCAGGAAUUUUCGUAGAUACUCCCUUGGAGUAACAAGAUAUUGCUUAGUGUGAAACGUAACAUCCGGCACCAGCCAUUUGCAAUUGUUGCAAAAGUAGAGGGUUUGAGAGUAAGCUGUUCGAGCCUCCGCAUAACUUUGCACACAUUCUAGCCUUCAUUUUACUCAACAAUCCCAGUGUAGGAGACAGUGAAAUGGACACUGGUGCAGCAGGUGCACAAGGGUUGGGUAAACCAGGGAUACAAGGUGGAGGGUAUGCAGGUGGUGCAGGUGGUGGCAACAAAUUAGCAAGUUUUGCA